CUGUAUCAGAAAGAUGAAAAGUCCGUUGUUUAGUUCUGAAUUUAGUUUUCCCUUCAAAAAAUGUCGGCGUUUUUCGUAAUUUUUUUUUUAUUAAUAUUGACCGAUAUACGAGAGUUGACAAAGAUCUUUUGAUCGAUCUUUUUGAAAACAGUAAUGCAGAGGUCUGCACACACAUACAUCUCUGUUUUGCACUGAGAAUCUCUGCCGCAGCAGCAAUAAAGCGCGCCGAAGCUGAGAAAAAAAAGACCCGAAGACCCAUGCCGAAGUCAUACGAACAUCUACGUUAUAUGGGCAGAACAAUUCCCUAUGUUCACUUAAUAGGACGCUGCCGAACGCUGUUGUGAAAAAAAUGUUGUGGGUCGAUAAAAAAAAGGAACAAAUUAAUUUGUUCAAUUUAAGGCCAGAACUGGAGUAGAUAUUGUUUAAGUGUACAUAUUAAAUAUAUAUAACCCCAUUAUAAUUUAUAGUAUAUACCAAGAACAGCAUUAUAAUGCUUUUGUUUUCUGGUAACACUAAAACGUGAACCACGCGGUUUAUCUCUCUCCUUUUUCUGAUCUCGUAAGCUGUGGUGGCGUGUAAAAUAAAUGAAACCAUAAUUAAAUACGAAA